AGAAGUACUUAUCUGCACACUGGCACUGAGAGGGUGCAUCGUCCCUCGAAGUUUUUGCUCAACUUCCACAGAACUUAAUAUUCAACAUUAGCACUCCAGGUAUUAACAUCAAGGGGGGGAGUGGGUAGCAACAACCUUCAGCGGAUUAGUCUCGAUAUGAUCUGAACAGAGUUAAGAGUGAGGUUAAUCCAUCCGUCCACAGGCCUCUAUUUGCAUUGUAAAUCGCUUCAUUCUCACAAAGGCUGCAUGAAGACGUUGAGCCCACAGCACUUAUCCAAAGCGGCCACAGCGCGUCAACAUUUUCCCUUGGCUAAUUCCGUGGUGGAAACGGGCACAGCAAGCCGGGAGAGCGGGCAAUGCGGUCGCACGCCAGCCCCCCCCCCCCCCCAAAGCUGCUGCCGAUCCCGAUCUGUUCUAAUGGCAGCGGCGGGCGGCUGCUGAGAGAUUUGGAAAGCGGUUUCCCCCGUCAUAGCUGGCGGAGCUGGGAAAGCCAGAUGCCGCCACACCGUUCGCCGCUGCUACUAGGGGUCUGAAGACGGAUCAGGGCCAUCAUUGGGUUUGCGGUGCCGAAAUCUGGACCAACCCGGCGAGGUCAAAGGUCCCGGACCGCGGGAGACCAAGAUCAGAGGAAUGCCUUAUGAACCGUAUUAUUCCUACGACUGUAAGUGCCAAAAAAUGCCACUUGGAAUAUUCGAGGAAUUAUUUUCCAAAGGGAGACAAUCCGUCAUUCAGAAACCUGCAGCUAGAGUUACAGGACAUGCACUGGUUUCCAGAUGGAUUCAGCGACACUGUAUGGCAUGGAUCUGAAGCUUCCUCGUGAUCUUAAAAUAAUGUAACGACUACAUAUGUUAAUAUUCAGUUUUCAUAAUUGGCGGCGAAAGUACGCGUGCACAUGAGCUUUAUGAUACACUGCAGGGGAUACAUAAACUUGUAUUCGACAUUUUGCCGCCCUAAUUUUGGAUUAGAUAAAUGGAUGUAAUUAAAGGGAACAGUACUGAGUCAUUCUAGGAAUCACCUAUCUCAUUGGAGCUGUGUGUCAUGCUUUUGAAUAAGUCGCAGACCACUAAAACGAGAUCCUACUAGUCAAAACAGCCAUCUUGUAUGAUAAAGGGCCAUUUAAUUAUAGCUAUCUGUAAUGCUUUUGCAAAACAUUUGACUUGCAUUCUGUGCUGAUCUGUAUUUUUCUAUACGCAGAAUUUGCAUUUUUAUCUUAUUUUUACAGCUGAUUAGUGUCAAAUGCAUUUUGAGACGAGCAGCCGUAUUCUUCACUAUAACUAUUUGUGCAUUGUAAAGUCAAUUGUUUUAGGAAACACAAUCUGUCAAUACCACCCUACAUAACACAAAAACAAGACCAGUGCGUCAUUAACUAAAUGAAUUUUUAUACGGUGAAUAUGGUACACAAUUCACAUGCAUUUGUACACAUGAAGUACUGAAUAUGUUUGGUUUUUACCGUUUUCGUCGGUACUAUGUUUCAGAACAUGAAUGUAUCCGGUUUACUUUCAACCUGUAAAAUAUUCACGAAUUAAAAAGAUUAGUUGAUGCUAUUAGAAUGUCGGCAAUUUUGACAAAUGAUUCAAUACGUAAUAAAGUGCUUAAAAUUA